rnacentral:rRNA from 1 species
UACGGAGGGUGCAAGCGUUAUCCGGAUUCACUGGGCUUAAAGGGUGCGUAGGCGGGCAUUUAAGUCAGUGGUGAAAUACCUGAGCUUAACUUGGGAACUGCCAUUGAUACUAUUUGUCUUGAAUGUCGUGGAGGUUAGCGGAAUAUGUCAUGUAGCGGUGAAAUGCUUAGAUAUGACAUAGAACACCUAUUGCGAAGGCAGCUAACUACGCGAAUAUUGACGCUGAGGCACGAAAGCGUGGGGAUCAAACAGG